rnacentral:rRNA from 1 species
UACGUAGGGUGCGAGCGUUGUCCGGAAUUAUUGGGCGUAAAGAGCUCGUAGGCGGUGUGUCACGUCGGCCGUGAAAACCUGCAGCUUAACUGUGGGCGUGCGGUCGAUACGGGCAUCACUGGAGUUCGGCAGGGGAGACUGGAAUUCCUGGUGUAGCGGUGAAAUGCGCAGAUAUCAGGAGGAACACCGGUGGCGAAGGCGGGUCUCUGGGCCACUACUGACGCUGAGAAGCGAAAGCAUGGGGAGCGAACAGG